AUUGAACGCUGGCGGCAGGCCUAACACAUGCAAGUCGAGCGGAUGAAGAGAGCUUGCUCUCUGAUUCAGCGGCGGACGGGUGAGUAAUGCCUAGGAAUCUGCCUGGUAGUGGGGGACAACGUUUUGAAAGGAACGCUAAUACCGCAUACGUCCUACGGGCGAAAGCAGGGGACCUUCGGGCCUUGCGCUAUUAGAUGAGCCUAGGUCGGAUUAGCUAGUUGGUGGGGUAAUGGCCCACCAAGGCGACGAUCCGUAACUGGUCUGAGAGGAUGAUCAGUCACACUGGAACUGAGACACGGUCCAGACUCCUACGGGAGGCAGCAGUGGGGAAUAUUGGACAAUGGGCGAAAGCCUGACCCAGCCAUGCCGCGUGUGUGAAGAAGGUCUUCGGAUUGUAAAGCACUUUAAGUUGGGAGGAAGGGCAUUAACCUAAUACGUUAGUGUUUUGACGUUACCAACAGAAUAAGCACCGGCUAACUUCGUGCCAGCCGCCGCGGUAA
rnacentral:rRNA from 1 species